rnacentral:rRNA from 1 species
ACGUAGGGUGCAAGCGUUAUCCGGAUUUAUUGGGUUUAAAGGGUCCGUAGGCGGGUAUUUAAGUCAGUGGUGAAAGCCCACAGCUCAACUGUGGAACUGCCAUUGAUACUGGAUGUCUUGAGUAUAGUAGAAGUAGGCGGAAUAGGGCAUGUAGCGGUGAAAUGCAUAGAUAUGCCCUAGAACACCGAUUGCGAAGGCAGCUUACUAUGUUAUAACUGACGCUGAGGGACGAAAGCGUGGGGAGCAAACAGG